rnacentral:rRNA from 1 species
UGAUGUGACAUAAUUAUUGUGAUAACAAGAUCUCAUUUGAUCUUGGAAGCUAAGCACCGUCUGGCCUGGUUAGUAUUUGGAUGGGAGUAAUGUCACUGCACAAACUCGGGGUGACUACGA